rnacentral:rRNA from 1 species
AGAGUUUGAUCCUGGCUCAGGAUGAACGCUGGCGGCGCACUUAAGACAUGCAAGUCGAACGGACUUAACCGAAAUAUUUAUAUUUUGGAGCGGUUAGUGGCGGACUGGUGAGUAACGCGUAAGCAAUCUGCCUAUUAGAGGGGAAUAACAGUGAGAAAUUACUGCUAAUACCGCAUAUGCCAUGAACAUCGCAUGAUGAAAAUGGGAAAGGAGUAAUCCGCUAAUAGAUGAGCUUGCGU